GCGGGAUUGCCCUAGCCUGGUAGGGGGCAGGCCUGCUAAGUCUGUGGUCAGUAAUGGCCGCGUGGGUUCAAAUCCCACAUCCCGCGCCA
rnacentral:tRNA from 1 species